rnacentral:tRNA from 1 species
GGGGUUGUGGCUCAUUGGUAGAGCACUCGCCUAGCAUGUGUGAGGCACUGGGUUCAAUCCUCAGCACCA